AUUGAACGCUGGCGGCAGGCUUAACACAUGCAAGUCGAGCGGUAGCACAGGGGAGCUUGCUCCCUGGGUGACGAGCGGCGGACGGGUGAGUAAUGUCUGGAAAACUGCCUGAUGGAGGGGGAUAACUACUGGAAACGGUAGCUAAUACCGCAUAACGUCGCAAGACCAAAGAGGGGGACCUUCGGGCCUCUUGCCAUCAGAUGUGCCCAGAUGGGAUUAGCUAGUAGGUGGGGUAAUGGCUCACCUAGGCGACGAUCCCUAGCUGGUCUGAGAGGAUGACCAGCCACACUGGAACUGAGACACGGUCCAGACUCCUACGGGAGGCAGCAGUGGGGAAUAUUGCACAAUGGGCGCAAGCCUGAUGCAGCCAUGCCGCGUGUGUGAAGAAGGCCUUCGGGUUGUAAAGCACUUUCAGCGAGGAGGAAGGUGGUGAGCUUAAUACGUUCAUCAAUUGACGUUACUCGCAGAAGAAGCACCGGCUAACUCCGUG
rnacentral:rRNA from 1 species